UGACACGCAUCCAUAUCUACGCAUGUGCAAUGCUUUUCGACUUUCCCGCCUAUAGUCAUCUUUAUGGAUUUGUCUGCACACAACGGAAUAUGUUCCAAGGUAAACUCCGCAAGCUUUCUAAGUUACUUCAGAUGCUGGCGAUAAGUCUUGAGGUCUGAACAAUUUUACAGGACACCACCAUCGCUGAAAGCAAGCGGCUCAAUUCUUUAAUGGAGGACACCAGAGAUGUAAGUAGAUGUGU